UCUCGGGCGAACGAGUGGACGCGCGCGACCGCGCGUUCUGAGAAAUAUCGUCGGAACUUGAUCGAGGUAAUACUUGCGCAAGGAUCGCCCGAAGAGACGCG
rnacentral:ncRNA from 1 species